rnacentral:rRNA from 1 species
UACAGAGGGGGCAAGCGUUAUUCAGAAUCACUGGGCGUAAAGCGCACGUAGGCGGAUUGCUAAGUCAGGGGUGAAAUCCUGGAGCUCAACUCCAGAACUGCCCUUGAUACUGGCGGUCUCGAGUCCGGGAGAGGUGAGUGGAACUGCGAGUGUAGAGGUGAAAUUCGUAGAUAUUCGCAAGAACACCAGUGGCGAAGGCGGCUCACUGGCCCGGUACUGACGCUGAGGUGCGAAAGCGUGGGGAGCAAACAGGGAUUAAGAAA